rnacentral:rRNA from 1 species
GAGGGGCAUCGGGGCGAGGAGCAAUCCUUGCCGCCGGCGACCGGCGCACGGGUGAGUAACGCGUAUGCGACCUGCCCGUUGCAGGGGGAUAAUCGGGAGAAAUCCCGUCUAAUACCGCGUAACGCCGCGGGGCUGCAUGGCCCUGCGGCCAAAGGGAGCGAUUCCGGCAACGGAUGGGCAUGCGUGACAUUAGCUAGUUGGCGGGGCAACGGCCCACCAAGGCGACGAUGUCUAGGGGUUCUGAGAGGAAGGUCCCCCACACUGGUACUGAGACACGGACCAGACUCCUACGGGAGGCAGCAGUGAGGAAUAUUGGUCAAUGGGCGCGAGCCUGAACCAGCCAAGUCGCGUGAGGGAUGACGGCCCUACGGGUUGUAAACCUCUUUUGUCGGGGAGCAAAUUCCGUUACGUGUAACGGAGUCGAGAGUACCCGAAGAAAAAGCAUCGGCUAACUCCGUGCCAGCAGCCGCGGUAAUACGGAGGAUGCGAGCGUUAUCCGGAUUUAUUGGGUUUAAAGGGUGCGUAGGCGGACUGUCAAGUCAGCGGUAAAAUACGGGGGCUCAACCUCCGCCCGCCGUUGAAACUGACGGUCUUGAGUGGGCGAGAAGUAUGCGGAAUGCGUGGUGUAGCGGUGAAAUGCAUAGAUAUCACGCAGAACUCCGAUUGCGAAGGCAGCAUACCGGCGCCCAACUGACGCUGAAGCACGAAAGCGUGGGUAUCGAACAGGAUUAGAUACCCUGGUAGUCCACGCAGUAAACGAUGAAUACUAGCUGUCCGGGGCGAAUGAGCCCUGGGUGGCACAGCGAAAGCGUUAAGUAUUCCACCUGGGGAGUACGCCGGCAACGGUGAAACUCAAAGGAAUUGACGGGGGCCCGCACAAGCGGAGGAACAUGUGGUUUAAUUCGAUGAUACGCGAGGAACCUUACCCGGGCUCAAACGACACAGGAACGUACCUGAAAGGGUUCGGCUCUACGGAGCCUGUGUCGAGGUGCUGCAUGGUUGUCGUCAGCUCGUGCCGUGAGGUGUCGGCUUAAGUGCCAUAACGAGCGCAACCCCCAUCGACAGUUGCUAACAGGUCAGGCUGAGGACUCUGUCGAGACUGCCGGCGCAAGCUGCGAGGAAGGCGGGGAUGACGUCAAAUCAGCACGGCCCUUACGUCCGGGGCGACACACGUGUUACAAUGGCAGGUACAGCGGGAAGCCACCUGGCGACAGGGAGCGGAACCCGAAAGCCUGUCUCAGUUCGGAUUGGAGUCUGCAACCCGACUCCAUGAAGCUGGAUUCGCUAGUAAUCGCGCAUCAGCCACGGCGCGGUGAAUACGUUCCCGGGC